UGUGUGGAUUCUGCGCGUAACACACCGGAAUCAUUUUAUCGAAAUUUCAUUAUAAUUUUAGUAUAAAAAACUAUAAUGCAGGUAAAAUGCUGCAUUACGAGUCACGUUAGAGGUUUCCGUUUUAAUACGGACCAGAAAUACACGUGACUUAAUUUAAUUAACUCGUAAUUUUUAACGUUUUGAUGUCACUUUACGAAAGUAAAACUUUAGCUUUUACUUUAUAUAGUGUUUAACGUUAUAAUGGCUGUACAGAAUAAAGUUUUAUACGCUUUCCGGGGAUGGAUAGCGUUCGUCGCGUUCAUGGAUUUGGGGACGGCCGGUCGAUCGUAUAUCGAAGGAAGAUCAUUUCUCAAUAACAAUGGAGAGACUGAGCACUUAGACGGUGACUUCACGAUAUCGAGAAUAUUAGGAAUGUAUUCAGUUCUAAAAGCUCUAGCGCUCAUACAUUGCACCUUAUACAUACAUUACAGACCUGUCGUCUCAAUGGGUUACUGGUCGUUGAUUCUAACGAUAAUAUUGUAUUUCACUGAAGCAUUCUACUUUAGAUCAACGAAUCUAAAUUUCUAUGUGGUGUUUCCGUGCGUUUUGAACAUUAUCACACUUCUGGGUCUCGUGUACUUGCCGAACAAGCUGAGACUGUUCGGAACUGUACCCGGCACAUCGGGCAUGGACAGGGAGGUCGAAGACGAAAACGUUCAAAUAUUAAGACAAAUGGGCAAUUUCCGACGCAGAAAAACUGGCAACACUAAGAACAAACACGUCUAGAUUCGCGUGCACUGGCAACACUGAGUCGAAGAGAUCUGUCUUACACUUAUUCUUUGUUUUGCAGACGACCGUAUGGCCAGGGACAGAGCCAAGCCGAUGCCUAAAGUUAAGUACUCUCCACAAGCCUCGUUUGAAGAAGGACAUGUCAUAGCGCUCGGGAGACACCGUGGAGGCGAGCUCAUUCCAAAUCCGGAUGGCACGUGGCAAAUAAGAUGUCUGGAAAUGCACUGCGUGGCGGGCGGUGCUAUGGUAAAAACGAUAUGAUGGGAUCAUCUCAAGCAAUUCCACAGAGCACUCCCCAUACUUCUGAACUUUUGUACAGUUCAUUCAAAAUUAAUUAA
rnacentral:misc_RNA from 1 species